rnacentral:rRNA from 1 species
UACGUAGGUGGCAAGCGUUGUCCGGAUUUACUGGGCGUAAAGAGCGCGCAGGCGGUCGUUCAAGUCGCGUGUGAAAGCCCCCGGCUCAACUGGGGAGGGUCACGCGAUACUGAUCGACUGGAAGGCAGGAGAGGGUAGUGGAAUUCCCGGUGUAGUGGUGAAAUGCGUAGAUAUCGGGGAGGAACACCAGUGGCGAAGGCGACUACCUGGCCUGUUCUUGACGCUGAGGCGCGAAAGCUAGGGGAGCAAACGGGG